rnacentral:rRNA from 1 species
CGGAGGGUGCAAGCGUUGUCCGGAUUUAUUGGGUUUAAAGGGUGCGUAGGCGGUCUUUUUAGUCAGUGGUGAAAUCCUGCAGCUCAACUGUAGAACAGCCAUUGAUACUGAAAGACUUGAGUACAGACGAGGUAGGCGGAAUUUAUGGUGUAGCGGUGAAAUGCAUAGAUACCACAAAGAACCCCUAUUGCGAAGGCAGCUUACUAGGCUGUAACUGACGCUGAGGCACGAAAGCGUGGGGAUCAAACAGGAUUAGAUACCCUGGUAGUCCACGCCGUAAACGAUGAUUACUCGAUGUUCGCGAUAUACAGUGAGCGUCCAAGCGAAAGCGUUAAGUAAUCCACCUGGGAAGUACGAUCGCAAGAUUG